GUCUACGUCCAUGCUACCCUGAGCAUGCCCGAUCUCGUCUGAUCUCGGAAGCUAAGCAGGGUCCGGCCUGGUUAGAACUUGGAUGGGAGACCACCUAGGAAGACCAGGUGCUGUAGGUG
rnacentral:rRNA from 1 species